rnacentral:lncRNA from 1 species
GUCUAAACCUAAGCUGUUCCAUGAGAACAAACACAAAUUGAACAGAUUGUGUCAUGGAGAGCUUUGCCAAUUUUAAAGCUCUACUCAAAUGCUAGUUAAUACUCUGCCUUUCAUUGGUGCCCUGCUCUCUGUCCAAACUCUUUGUUAUUGAUCCCUUGCCACCCGCCUCACUGUCCUGUCCUGUUUCCUGAUGACCUCCUAAGUCCCCCACCCUUAACUCCUGGACCUCAUCACACAUCACUCUUUUUUCCUCCUCCUCCUCCUCCUCCAUCUCCUCCUCUUCCUCCUCCUUCUUUUUCUUUCUAUCUCUCUAUCUCUAUCUCUAUCUCUAUCGCUUUCUCUCUUUGUGGAGCUGGGAAUUGAACCCAGGGGUGCUCUGUCACUGAACUACAAUCCCAGCCCUUUUUUAUUUUAAUUAGGGUCUCACUAAAUUGCCAAGAAUUUGGAAUCUUCCUGCUUCAGCC